GUUUUGAUUGUCACAGAAGCAGAAUCGAAUGAGGAAGUGCUGGAAAAUAAUAUUGUCGAAUCAUUGAAUUAGAUCCGAGAUUUUCUAAUAAACUCAUAUUUGCAUCUGUUGAAUGUUUGGUUGCCAUGGAGACCCCUGAGCCCAGUCAGGCAGAUGGUGAGGAGCGGAUGAUGGAUCUAAGGCCCAGAACCCGGUCAAACCCAGAGGGCGCAGAAGACCGGCGCAGCAGCAAUGGCAGCCUCAAUAACAGCCUUCCGUCCCCCCCGCAGCCGGCCGUGGGCAGUCGUGUGGAGGGGGAGGGAGAGGCAGCCAGCUCUGAUACCCCCCCGACUUCUGCCACCGCAAUCACGACCACUGCACCUGCCCUCGUCUCUGCGGCAGGAAACGCCACGAUCAGCAUGCCUGCAAUGGCAUCUACAACGAAGGAAAGACCUAAACCAUCUCAGCCAUCCCUGCCCACCCAGAUACCCCCGUCUGCAGAGUUGCACCUGCGUGCACCACGUGUCAACUGCCCAGAGAAAGUGAUCAUAUGUUUAGACCUUUCAGAAGAGAUGUCUCUACAAAAACUGGAGUCCUUCAAUGGAUCCAAGACAAAUGCGUUAAAUAUUUCACAGAAAAUGAUCGAGAUGUUUGUGAGAACCAAGCACAAGAUAGACAAGAGGCAUGAGUUUGCUCUGGUGGUGAUUAAUGAUGAUGCCAUGUGGUUAUCAGGAUUCACCUCUGAUCCACGAGAGCUUUGCAGCUUUCUGUAUGACCUUGAGACCAACGUCUGCGAGUCCUUCAAUCUGGAGGAUCUCCUCAAUGUAAUUUUGCAGAAAAUUGAACUUCCACAGAUGGAGAACAUUCAAACUAUCCCGCCUCCCUUUGUAGUCCGAACUCUCCUUAUAUUCAGUCGGCAUGCUGGCAUGCUUCAGUUCAACCCCUCUGAUGCCAUCAAAUCAUUCUGGUGUACACACUUUCAGGAGUAUCAACUACACGACCAUUCAUCCCAGACUGAGGCCAUGUGUACAAAGGUAUUAACAUUAAUGUAAUAGAUAAAGUACGGGCAAAGAGGAGGUAGGAACCUGCUGAACAGUAAACAUAAAGUUUAGAAGAAACUCAACAUAAAACAGACACAUGCAACGUGAUCAUGUGCGUCUCUCUCCCUUGAUUUAUCGCCUCCGUCUCCCCUUUAUCUCACUUUCCCACUGAUCAGCUGAUUCAGCCCCACCCGUGCAUCAUCAUGGCCCGGCCACGCCCUCCUACCUCAUCACAAUUAGUUUUGGGUAUCCGAUCACAAAUGUACAAGCGAGACAUCACCAUUACACCUGGUCGUCUCUUUUAACCACAUCUCUGAUUUCAUGAGGACAUACAUCAAUCAUUACGUCUUUGUUUUACUGAAUGAUAAUAAAUAGCUAAAAUGUGAAAGACGGGAAAGAAAGCACUAAAAACCGAUGCACAGUUUCUCUUAAUUUUUCAAAACAUGAAAUUUUGGAGCUGAAUUCUUUGCAGUACAUGUAACUGAGAUUCUAAUGCACAUGAUGCUCAUAUCUGUGUCCCUAUUGUGCAUGUUCAUGCUAUAACUUUUUUAAAUUUCCAAUCUUAUGCUUAUUUCAGCUGCCUUUAGCAUUGUCCAAUUUAAAAUGGAUUGUCCAAAAUGCAUUUUAAAAUUAUGAUAAUGAAAGGAGAUGAUGUUUUGUUUUUUGAUGUUUUAUCCAGCUUCUCAAUAAAAUUCUCUCCUCUUGCACUCUGCAUUUCAUUGGCUCAUUGUUGGUCUCUUGCUCGUCGGGACAGUGUCAAGCUGAUUUGAAAUCUGUAGGAGCACCUGGGUCUAGUCUCUGUAUGUUGCAGGAGUGCACACAAUAACCGACCAUUCAUUAGGAGAUCUGGGACUUCUCGUCACAGACCAGUAGGCGACUAAAAACAUCAAGGGAGACGAGCUGGAGUCCUGUAGUGUACACAGUUAUACAGACUUAGAGUGGGAAUGGGACAUGGUCUGAGAGGCUGUUAAACAGAAUCUGUUAUUAAAGACUGUGUUGUUAUACAACUAACUGUAUGUUCUAGUGUCUGAGAGGUGUAAAUGUAGCUAAAUCAAUGUGUUUUAAACAAAAGCAUAUCAGUGUGGAUGUGGCCAGAGAGAGAUGUAUUGAUUGAUUGAUAGAUGGAUGGAUAGACAUACAUAUACUAUUAAUCUAUUUUGAGAAACUUUGUGAAAAAUAGCAUUUUCUUCAUGUUGUUCUCUUCCUCUCCAGAAAAUGCUGCAGUCUCCCUAUUUUUUCUUUGAUGUUGUUUAUCUUCAUAAUGGAACUGAAGAGCAGACAGAGGACACUAGCUGGAAGGACGUGUAUGCCUCCUUCAGUGAGUUGGACUCUAAGGGGAUGUGCUAUCGUUUUGAGGUGUC